rnacentral:rRNA from 1 species
CGCGAUCACUCCUACGGGAGGCAGCAGUAGGGAAUCUUCCACAAUGGGCGCAAGCCUGAUGGAGCAACACCGCGUGAGUGAAGAAGGGUUUCGGCUCGUAAAGCUCUGUUGUUAAAGAAGAACACGUAUGAGAGUAACUGUUCAUACGUUGACGGUAUUUAACCAGAAAGUCACGGCUAACUACGUGCCAGCAGCCGCGGUAAUACGUAGGUGGCAAGCGUUAUCCGGAUUUAUUGGGCGUAAAGAGAGUGCAGGCGGUUUUCUAAGUCUGAUGUGAAAGCCUUCGGCUUAACCGGAGAAGUGCAUCGGAAACUGGAUAACUUGAGUGCAGAAGAGGGUAGUGGAACUCCAUGUGUAGCGGUGGAAUGCGUAGAUAUAUGGAAGAACACCAGUGGCGAAGGCGGCUACCUGGUCUGCAACUGACGCUGAGACUCGAAAGCAUGGGUAGCGAACAGGAUUAGAUACCCUGGUAG